rnacentral:misc_RNA from 1 species
CUGGGCUGAUGGGCGCAGUGAACCAUCUGGUGAACACCGUGAGCUUGGGCCACGACUUCAGCUUCGAGGAGGCCGGCGACACCACGGCCUUCCCUCACCUCAUGGACAUCAACUUUUGGGGCAACGUGUACCCGACGCACGCCGCGCUGCCCUACCUCCGGCGGAGCCACGGCCGCGUCGUCGUCAACGCGUCCGUCGAGAGCUGGCUGCCCAUGCCCAGGAUGAGCCUCUACUCUGCGGCGAAGGCAGCGGUGGUGGACUUCUACGAGACGCUCCGGUACGAGGUGAAGGAGGAGGUGGGCGUGACCGUGGCGACGCACGGCUGGGUCAGCGGCGACGCCGGCGGCAGCAAGUUCACGCUGGACCAGCAGCAGCACCACCAGGAAGGCGCGGCGGCGGAUCAGGUGCAGUGGAAGCAGCAGGGAGAGCGCGAGCCGGCGGCGGCGGCGCUGCCGGGAGGGCACGUGGAGGCGUACGCGCGGGCGCUGGUGGCCGGCGCGUGCCGCGGCGACGCCUACGUGAAGCGCCCCAGCUGGUACGACGUCUUCCUCGUCUUCCGCGUCUUCGCGCCCGACGUCCUCGCCUGGACCUUCCGCCUCCUGCUGUCGACGUCCACGCCCGCGCCCGCCGGCCCCAGCGCGAGCGCGAGCGCGAUCGCCGCGCGUCGCCAGCCUCCCGCCGCGCUGCCGGCCCCGCCGCUCCGCCCGCUGCUCGAGUACCCGCCGGCGGCGGUGUCCCGGGGCCCCGCCCACGCCCACGCCCAGCAGGUGGUGCAGAAGCUGGAAUGAGACUGCGCAUGCUACGUGCGGUCGAGACAGAGCUUUCAUCAUCUCUACGUUACUGCUGUGAUGAUGUCCUUGCAUCUGCAUAUAUGCAUGUCGACGACGACGCCAUUGUGCCCAAGUAUAUAUGAACUGGUUUUGGC